rnacentral:rRNA from 1 species
GGCGAGUGACCGGGAAGAGCUCAAAUUUGAAAUCUGGCGUGCUCAGUGCGUCCGAGUUGUAAUCUAUAGAGGCGUUUUCCGUGCCGGACUGUGUCUAAGUCCCUUGGAACAGGGUAUCAAAGAGGGUGAUAAUCCCGUACUUGACACAAUGACCGGUGCUCUGUGAUACGUCUUCUACGAGUCGAGUUGUUUGGGAAUGCAGCUCAAAAUGGGUGGUGAGUUCCAUCUAAAGCUAAAUAUUGGCGAGAGACCGAUAGCGAACAAGUACCGUGAGGGAAAGAUGAAAAGCACUUUGGAAAGAGAGUUAAACAGUACGUGAAAUUGUUGAAAGGGAAACGAUUGAAGUCAGUCGUGACUGAGAGGCUCAGCCGGUUCUGCCGGUGUAUUCCCCUCAGUCGGGUCAACAUCAGUUUUGUUCGGUGGAUAAGGGCAGCUGGAAGGUGGCACCUCCGGGUGUGUUAUAGCCAGCUGUCGCAUACAUCGAAUGAGACUGAGGAAUGCAGCUCGCCUUUAUGGCCGGGGUUCGCCCACGUCCGAGCUUAGGAUGUUGACAUAAUGGCUUUAAACGACCCGUCUUGAAACACGG